rnacentral:rRNA from 1 species
GACGAACGCUGGCGGCGUGCUUAACACAUGCAAGUCGAACGGGUCUGCCCUGUUUUUUGCGGGGUGGGUCAGUGGCGAACGGGUGAGUAACACGUGAGUAACCUGCCCCUCACUUCUGGAUAACCGCUUGAAAGGGUGGCUAAUACGGUGUGUUCUGGCUGUGCCGCAUGGUGUGGCUGGGAAAGAUUCACUUUUGUGGUGUUUUGGUGGGGGAUGGGCUCGCGGCCUAUCAGCUUGUUGGUGGGGUGAUGGCCUGCCAAGGCUUUGACGGGUAGCCGGCCUGAGAGGGUGGGCGGUCACACUGGGACUGAGAUACGGCCCAGACUCCUGCGGGAGGCAGCAGUGGGGGGUAUUGCACAAUGGGCGGAAGCCUGAUGCAGCGACGUCGCGUGAGGGAUGGAGGCCUGCGGGUUGUGAACCUCUUUCGCCGGUGAAGAAGGUCCUGCUCUUUGUGGUGGGGUUGACGGUAGCCGGGUUAUGAAGCGCCGGCUAACUACGUG